UACAGGGGGUGCAAACGUUGCUCGGAAUCAUUGGGCGUAAAGCGCACGUAGGCGGUCUGUUAUGUCGGAUGUGAGAGCCCUUGGCUUAAUUGAGGAAGUGCAUCCGAAACUGGCAGGCUAGAGUACUAAAGAGGGUCGCGGAAUUCCCGGUGUAGAGGUGAAAUGCGUAGAUAUCAGGAGGAACACCUGCGGUGUAGACGGCUUACUGGACGGUAACUGACGCUGAGGCACGAAAGCGUGGGUAGCAAACAGG
rnacentral:rRNA from 1 species